CUUGUGUAACUUUUCUGGAGUCCGCAUAGCCAUCGGCAGAGUACACAGCACUCGGAGACUUCUACAUGGUCUGUGGGCUCACUAUUGACUCAACUGCGUGCUGUGAAUGACUCAAAGGUCCAUGGGUGGGAGAAUGAAAGGGGAGGGGGAGAGAGAAAGAGGGAGACAAAAACAUGCUGCUGCUGUUGUGUGUCAGUGGUGCAUCUUCUCUCAAUGGCAAAGAAGAAAACAACAGAGAGAAUGAGAAGGAAAUAAACAAAACAGGGUGUCCUGCCAGGGUUGGGGGGCGGUUGCAUCCUCCUCAUGGCUCCGUGAGCAUGGGCCAUAACACAGCAUUGCACAGGCAUGACUUCAUCUGUUUCCAUAAGAUUUCUUUCUCCCUCUCCCUUUCUUUGGCCUGUAAUUGAGAAACGUAUGAGCUCACCUCCUAGGAGCGGGAAAUGAGAACCGCAAGAGGAAACGAGCUGGAAAGUAUACAUCGGAUUGGGGAAAAAAAAACCCAUAGAUUCGGUGGGGGAGGAGAUGUAUUGAAAAGAGAAGUAACGCCAUAUGCUUUGCUGCAUCCCUCACAGCUCCAGGGUCACGGCAUCUUCAGGGAUAAUGCACAUGAAUAGGUGACAUUGGAAUCUUGGCAGCUCGGCUCUAAACCCUGCCUAAUAGGGGAAACAGUCUUGGUCAGGUGAUAGUUGGAGUGCGGUUCUUGAAGAAGUAGUGUGGAUGACACAUCAGCUCAAAAUCUCAGCAGGUGUCAAGUGGUGCCAGCUGAGGCUCUGGCCUGGAUUUUCUUCUCUUCCUUUCCCUGUCACCCUGGUCAAACUAUUCUGAAAAAAUAUAGGCAUCAGCCUCCCUCUUUCUAUUUUGUGGUGCUUAAAGGCCAGGGUCCCAUUGUGCUAAGCACAGUACAGACAUUUAACAAAGGGACAGUCCCUGACCCAUGGAGUUUACAAUCUAAAUACAAGACUGUAGACAACAGGUGGAUACAAUAAACAGAUGAGGAACUUCAAGGAAUCAGUGAGGCGAUGCUGGGCCAUGUGAUAGGGAGGGGUCACUGCAUACCAGGUGUACAACCUUUGUCAAGGUUUCUGUAGGAGGAUGAUUGUCUGAGUAUCCAGCAUCCUCAAACCCUGAUCAUUGUCCCCCUGAGCAUGAGCAGCAUGUGAAAUCAUCCUCUGCCUCCCAUCUGUGUCUCUACCUCUCUCCAUAUUCUCUUACUUUCCUUUCCCUUCUUUUCAGUCCCUUAUAUCUUUUCCUUUUCCUGGCUGCCUUUUCUCUAUCUUUAAUUAAAUUGAACACUAACUGAUGGGGACUAGAAAGAAACUUCCCCUGUUGACAAGUUACUUUAUAGUCGGCCACUUGCAGCUUCCUCAGAAGUAGUUGGCAUUGGUCAAUUUUGGAGACUGGAUGAUGGACUAGAUCUGAUCUGGUUUAGUCAAGUAUGGAAAUUCCUAUGCUUCUCUUUUCUACAUCUCCUUUCAUUCUCUUCCAGUUCUUCACCUCUUUCAACUCUUGUUCCCUUCUCUCUUUGCCUGCCCCAAGCCUUUCUCCAAUCUCCCUCUACUGUUUGUACUUAUUUGGAGAGAACAGGACAGGUCUAACUUUGGUCUUAGAUCAGAUUUGGACCAAAUGGCCUCUUCCUCAGAUGGUAUGAAUCAGUGUAGCUCCAUUGAAGUCAACGAUUUACUCUAGCUGACAAUGUGACCCAAAAUGUUCUAGUCCAACCCAAAUCUGAAGUACUCAAACAAGGCACCAUAGAAAGAAAGAAAAGAGGAAAGCAAAAUGCAAAUUAAAACUGGCUUUCAACAAAUGUCUCCAGAAGCCCUGGAGAUUGCUGGAUACAGGUGUACAGUGAUGUAGCUCAGAAAGCAGAGAGCGCAGCCAGGGAGUGGGAUGAAUCUUGUUAGUUGAUUGAUUUAUAUUUGCAAAGUGUUUAUAUAAAUUCUAAGAGUUGUUAUUGUUACCUGGAGGAGUAUGAGGUUUUUCUGAACUUCACAAAUUAGUUUCUGGAUGUAUAAGUUUCACGAAACUGAUUUGAAUGAAUGAACACCCCCACUCUUCAUCAUUUAGAACCUGAUGUCCUUGUAAUUUAAAUUAAUCUUUCCCUCCCCUCCAGGGUGAGCCAAUUUUUUAUUUUUAGAAACGAUCUUCUAGCUAAAGGGAAGCCUGUGCUAUGAAUUAGGGCUAGAAAUGCCACAUUGGCACAAGGGGAUGCCCCGUAUAUGUUAUACUGUAUUUAUUUUUCCAUUGGAUUUUUUUUCCCCCUCCCCUUCUCUGCACCUUUUUUCUACACUUUUUCCUACAUGAAACACUAAUCCAGUGACAUUCAAACCCACAGUGUUUGAGUGGCCUCUAAAUUAGGCAAAACAAGUUUGCCCAACCCUAGUGCAAACUGGGCUCAUUUUCUAAUUCAUACACACUCCAUUCAUUGGUAGUCUGUUAGUCCUAAUAAAAUAUACUUCUGUCCUGGGCCCAUCUCCUCAUUGCUCUGGUGCCCCCUCUCAUCCCCUACCUUAACCUCUUACACUCCUCUGACUCUUUCCCCUCAUAACACAAACAUGUUCUCUUCUCUUCCAGCUCAGCAACAGAAAACAUCCUUGACUCCAGUUGCCUGUCCAGCUACCACCCCCAUAUCGUUUUCAUCUCUGAGCUCAGUGAAUGUGCUGCUUACAAAUGCUAUCUGGUGUUCCUCUCUUCCAAGUCCAUUCCAGACCAUCUCCAACCUGGCUUCUGCCCCCUGCUCUCCACUGAAACUGCUCUCACCAAAGUCUCUACUGACCUCCUCAAAUCUCAGAACCAGGACUACUUCUGCAAGUAAUUGUCCCUAUGGGUACUCCACUUCAGGUGUGUGCACAUCCCUAUGCCUCUGACUGGAGGUUUUUGGUAGCAGUGUCCACGUAGUCCACGUCUUCACGCUGUGUGCCCUCAUGCUCUGAUCUGAGGGCAUGUAAGGCAGGGUGAACCUACUGUCCCUCCAGUUCCUUCUCAACCAUCUGAGGUCUGAGACGGAGUGCAGCUGUGUGGGCUUAUGUUCUCCUCUGGCACCAAAACACUGCAAAACCAACAAUACCAACAAAAUCAGCUCCCCUUUUCUGACUUGAAGAUUUCCAGUCAGGGUUCCACCACCUACCUCUCCCCCCCAGCCUUUUCUGAAAGAGGGUCAUCAGGAAACAAGCACUUGCAAGUCCCUCAACAGCCUCCUGGGUACCACCUACUUGGGCAGGGAAGCCCUACCAAUAAAUAAUGCCUUACUAGAGCCAACCAGAAGAGUAUGGCAAAUGCCAGACACUGUUCCUCCCACUUACAAAUGGGUGGACAAGAAAUAUUUUGCACCCUUAAAAGGCACACAAUACCUAUUCCCCCAUCCUGUCCCAAAUUCCUUCAUGGUUGAUGCUCUGAAUGAAAGAAACAAACAGCAUCAUUCCUGGUCCACACCACACCAAAAAGAAAUGUAAGUGCACAAAAGUUAUUCCUUGGUCUCUUUACAAUUCAGGGUAGCAAAUUACCAAGCCCUAAUUGCUAAAUAUGACUACACAAACUACAAGAAAUUCACUCAUUUUGUUGAAUAUCUCCCACAAGAACAAAGAGACCAGUUCUAGGUACUCAUCACCGAAGGACAACUAGGGGCCCAGGCCUCAUCACAGGCAACUUUGGAUAUGGCAGACACAGCCUCUUGGUCUAUGACAACAACCAUAGUAAUGUGCCGCGUAUCCUGCUUACAGUCCUCUGGAGUCCAUAGAGAGAUCCAGAACAUAGUGGAGGACCUUCUAUGUGAGGGCCCCAAGCUAUUCAGCAAAACCAUGGAUGAAUCCCUCCUUUCCUUAAAGGGCUCCCGAGCAAUUCUUCAGUCUUUGAGAAUUUACACUCCUGCAACCAAAAGAAGAUAUAGCAGAUCUAACAGCCCAAAGGUCCAGCCUGGUCCGGUUUCUAACAUAUCACAGGGCUAUAGAGCCACCUGGGAAAAGACCUAGAUUCAAAGGAAAAGACCACUGAUCUCCAAAGCUAUAGUCAUCCAGCCAUCAACCUCUACAAAACAGCCAUUUUGGUUAUUGGUCAAUAGCUACAAGUCAUUCUGUCAUCUGGAUCUUAUGCUGCAUCACCCUUCUAUUGCCUACCUCUUCACCUUAUGGGGACUGUCUUUCCCAUUUCAAGCAUUCAUGGUAACAAAUCACAUAGAGCAGAUGGGUGCUAGCAAGCAUCACAUCAGGAUAUGCCAUUCACUUCAGCUCCAUCCCUCCCCACUACUCUUCAGGGACCUAUCUCAUUAAGGUCUCCUAAGAUAGGAAAUAACUGGGUGUAGUAGAGCCAGCUUCCCCUCCCUAUAUGGGAAAAGGCUUCUAUUCCAGAGCUUUCCUGGUACCCAAGAAAAAAAGGGAGGUGGAGACUGAUUUUGGAACUCAGCACACUUAACAUAUUCAUCCAGGCUCUUAUGUUCAGGAUGGCAACCUUAGCAGCAAUUAUAUCAUCUCUAGAUCCAGAGGGUUGAUUUAUGACCCUCGAUCUCUAGGAUGCAUACUUUCACAUAGCACUGUGUCCAGCUCACAAGCAUUUCCUAAGGUUCAUGGUUGGUCACAAAUAUUAUCAAUAGUGGAUACUUCCAUUCAGCCUCUUGACUGUCUCAAGACACUUCACAAAGGUCCUUUCAGUGGUGGCUGCCCAGCUGAGACAGCAGUGGCAGUCUUUCCCUGCCUACACAACUGGCUCCUGCUGUAUACCUAUCCUCCUAUGCCACUGCUUCUCAAAGGCCUGAAAAAGAUGAAAAAAAGACAAAUACAAAAUCAACCUACGCAAGAGGGGUCUGAUUCUGAGACUUGAUUUGCCUGCCACUUUGGCCACCUCUUCACCUGCCACUGACAACAAACUUGUUGGCUCAAGGGAACCUCUCCGGGAAAAAUAGUUACCCCAAUCUACCCACACUAUAUCUCAAGGCCUGGCUCUUGGAUGACUCUUGGGCAUAGGAAUGGAUUAUUCAUUUUGAAGUGCAGAACAUAGGGUUGAACAGGAAACCAUCAGUGAGGAAGACUUACCUUCAUAAAUGAAUGUGAUUCCUCUACUGGUGCUCCCAGCGUGAUUGUUUCCCUCUAAGCUUCACAUAAUACAGAUUUUAAAUUAUCCAUUACAUUUAAAGACCGUGGGUUUGUUGCUAAGUUCCUUUGAAGUCUAUUUUGCAUCUGGUAGCUCUGGCACAUCCAUCCUACCCCAGGUUUUAUCAGGGCAAAGUGACUCUUUGCCUCCAUCUUUGUUUUCUCUCCCAGAUCUCCUCUGAUUUCUCCAUGACAUUCUAUUACCCAUAGUCUAACCUAAUCACACAACUCUUGGAAAGAAGCUAGUCUCCACACUCUGGAUGUUGGAGGGACUAGCGUUCUACCUAGAAAGAAUUUGACCCUUCAAAACCUCUUCUAAGUUUUUCAUCUCCUUCAUAGAAUGAGUGGAACCUCUAUUUGUAUCCCAUGACUUUCCAAAGGGGACUUGGGAUGCUUUUUGUCCUCUCUAGAAUGCACCCUCCCACUAAGGUGAUUGCCCAUUCCACUAGGGCCCACCUCUCUGACUUGGCUCAUGAAUCUCCCCAUCAAAGACAGCUGUAAAGCUGCCACCUCAUCUGUUCACUGCUUUUCUCAGUACUAUGCCACAGUGCAGGUCUGAUGCAGCUUUUGGGACAGCUGUUCUCCAAUCUGUACUAGACAGGACUCCUCAUCACCCGACCCCUUAGUCUGGGCACUGCUUGGGAGUCACCUGAAGUCGAGCACCCAUAAGAACAAUUACUCAAAGAAGGAUUGCUGAUUACUUGGUACAGCAAGGUGAGUUCUUCAAGAUGUUUUGUCCUCAUGGGUGCUCCACUAUCUGCCUUCCUUCCCCUCUGCUUUGGAGUGCCAGCAUUAAGCCAUAUUUCACAAAGGAGAAGGAACUGGAGUGGCAGCAGUUCCACACUGUGUACAGAGCACAGGUGAGGAUCACAUGGACACUGCUACCAAAAACCUCUGAUCAAAGAUGCACUGUCAUGCAUGCACCAGUAGUGUAGCAUGUAUAGGGUCAAAAUAUCUCAAAGAAUUCAAGUUGCUGCCAGAUCCUCAGCUGGUGUAAGUCAAUAUAGCUCCAUUGACUUCAAUGCAAGUUUACCCUAGCUCAGGAUAUAGUCCCAGUGUGGAGAAGGAGGCUUGCAUCAGAAUUUGUUUGCUUGGCAUUGUGAUGGGGUGUGAUGGGGUGGCAUUGUGACUGGGCCCGUGGGGGCAGACCAAUCACUGUGGGCCCAGGAGACCACGACCCCUCACUCCUGCUGUGCGUUCUCCAGCUGAAGGGAUGGAUAAAAAGACAGUCCAGCUCAGUCAGGGCUCGUGGAGGAAGAGGAAGGGCAUGUGCUGCAGGCUUCCGCUGAGGAACUGCCAACUCUCCAGUCUGUAGGGACUGUGGACCCAGAUUAUGCUGCAGACAACUAACUGACCACGGAGACCUGCUGGAAUGCCGAGCUGCUGGCAGCUGAGAAGAUGCUUGAGAUUGGCUUUUUGGAUUCCUUACCGAUGACUAAGUGAUCAUCCUGGGACUGCCAAGCCUACGGGUUUUCCCCACAGACUACCAGCUUUUUGGUUCCUGCUACAGGGCAAUCCCAAGAAUCUAUGCCUCAGAUCCUCGGCCCCAGAUGUUUUGCAGAGUCACUUGCCCUGACCUUUAGCCAUGGAGGAGCUAAAAUCCAACAAAAUACUAUAGUAAAGUGAUAUCAAGUGGGAAACGCAAGACAGCGAAGGAAUCCACAGUUAAGGCUGAAACUCUCAUCUUACUCCUAACACAUCAGGGUAAGUUAAGGAUAGGGAUGCAACAGUAACACUAACUUUCUUUGAUUUUUGUGGUUUAAGACAGGCCUUCAACGUUACUUGAACAUAUUUGGAGUGGAUUUAAUUUUCUUUGAAUUAUUAUCUUUUAUUUUUACCCAGUAAUAAACGAAGCUCCUUUUUCUCUCCAUGCCCUAAGGCAUACAUACCCUCUGCAUCUCUGCAGGGCACAAUGGAAGAAGUGGCUGGGAGCCGUUUUAAAUACUUGAAAAAUAUAUUAGUAUUGAUCAGACAACCUGUCUCAAAAUUUCAUGUGGAUUGGGUCAUAAACUGGAGCCUGCAGAAUGUUAACAUCAGGGAGGUGUGAAUCCUGCAGAGUAGAAAGAUUAGUUGAAAACUAUUUCAGUUUGGAAAGUAGCUUUCCAUAAAUAUUUACCCCUUAUAAUUUAGACCAAAUUCAUUGGUGCCCCCCCCCCCCGGGUCAGUCCUUUAAAAAACAAACAAACAAAGACUAAGCAUAUUUUCCAACCGGAAAAGAAGAUGGAGCUAUUUACAAGGAAUGGAAAAGCUCCUCUAAAUCCACAUCAACAUAGUGGGUGCCCUGUAUAUUACAGAUGGAACUGGUAGCACUGCCUACAGUCCAUGUUGCCUGACACUUCCCAUUAUAAGCUUAGAACUUUGCCAAACUUUAACCAUUUGUGCUGAAAUUUUCCAAGCUGGGUGUCUGCCUCAUUUUGAUUUUUUUUGGGAAGAUUCAGAAAAAAAAUGGCUCAGUCAUAGCCCAGACUGAGAUUAGGGAAAAAUGCAUUGUUUUAUGCAUGUUAAAAAUUCUUGUAGCCCCUUCAUUGAGAAGCUCUAGCACCUCCAUGGUUUGAAGCAGAGGCUUGACAUUUGGUUGGAAUGGGGGGAGGGGGUGUUACUCUGAUAUCAGGAAUGAACCUUUUGCUGUUCCUGUGAAAAACUACCCACAUCUGGGCAAGUUAUAAGUAUUCAAAAAUCUGUUUUCAUAUACUUAGUAGGGACUUGUUAGAGGUUGGCAGGUAGAUUCUCCAAAAAAAGUCCACCUGCACUCCCAUGCUCUAUCCCCUCAUAACUCCUUGGUGCUGACUGUACUGAGCAUAUUUGUAAUGGGGCUCGCUCCCCAUACUGCCCAGAGGGGGUUGAAUUAGGCCAGAUGGGCCCACUCAGCCAAUGAAGCAGAUAACAGGGGAGAGAUUUAGGUUAGAAGGGGGCUGGUAAUUGCAAGCAAGCUCACCUGUGAGGAAACAGGCAGGGCUUACGUGAAGCAGAGACUAGCAACUGAAAGAGGGCUGCAAGGUGAAGAGUGACAGUCGCUUUCCCUGAGGGAAGAAGGGAUAGGAAUCCCUGAGAUCCCAAUGGACUCCAGGAGAGAGGGGUCUGACUAGAAUGGGUGGAAGUAAGUUAGGAAGAAGUCCAAGGGUGAGCGCAGUAAGGUUAGAGAAGCUGCACACCUUGACUGCUUGGAAAAGGGCCCUGGAAUGGAAUCGGAGUUCCCCUACUAACCACUGCAGAGUGAACUAGAAGACAGCCUGGGGGUCACUGCAGGAAUGGCAGGGUCAGGGUGGUGGGUGUGAUGACUGAUGCCACUUGAGCAGAAAGGCUUUGAAUGACUCUACCUUGAAAGGGGAAACCACUUAGUGAUCUGGCAUGAGGGCUGUAUCGCGAAGACGAUGCUACAGCUCCUGGAGUGAGAAAGAGUGAUGAAGUGCAAUUGCAGGAAGGGGCAUCUGCCUGGCAGAGCUAAUCACCAGGAGGGGGCGCUGUUGAGUAGAGCACCCUGUCACAAUGCUCCAUCCUGGAGCUGUUGGGGUUUAGCAGUAUUUUCCCUGCAACGGGUACUCACAGCAGCUGUAGGACAGAAACUGUGACUGGAGAGACUGUCUGUCUCUCCCGUAUUCUGAUUGCCCAGUCACCCUACUGGACAUGGAGGGGAGACAGCCAGACUCAAAUGCAGAAGACAAGAGCUGGACCUGGUGGGGGAUGCAGCAGAGGGGAAGACUAGAGUGGGGAUUGGAGAGCCUGGAGGAAGCUGAGGAAGACUGGGAGCCAGUGCGGGAGGCGAAAGACAGGAAGAGGAGCUGGGCUGAUGGGACUGGAAAACGAAGGGGAGGGAAUAGGAGAUGACUGGGACUGGCAAGGUAAAGAGCCUGGGCAGCGUUAGAGUGGGAUGAGGAGCCUGGGGAGGGAGACUAGAACUUGUAUGGGAAGCCCAGAGUUGGCAACUGUCUUUCCCAGUCCCAUGCUAAGUGGGUUAAAAUAUCAAGCAAAAUGUGUACACUUGCCAGUAGUUAACAUAAAGAUAUGUAGUAAAAUAGGUUUGGGGAGGAAGCGGGAAUAACCUGAACUGCAUAGAUAGAUGAUAGGCUAUUCAUCAUAUAUAUCUACUGGGACCCAUUUACUCCAUCCUGCCAAUCAGUCAAUUUGUCUGAAAGAUAAUCUACCAUAUAUUCAGCUGGUGUAAAUCAGUUUAGCACCGCUGAAAUCAAUGGAGUAUCAUCAGUUUACAUCAGCUCAGGAUCUGGCCUAUGGUCUUCUAGUUCAUCCACAAGUUAUUCAUCUCAAUAAUGAUCACUAAGGCCCAAGAUUCAGCUUAACUUUAAACAUGUGCUUAAGUGCUUUGAUGAACCGGGGGCGGGGGGCCUUAGAUAGCAGGAAAAACAGUUGCUUCCAUGGCAGGAGUUUCUGCAUUGGACUUCUAUGGCCUCUUUCUGGAGGAGGGCUGACUUGAUGAUCCUAGUGGUCCUUCUGGACUCAAUAUCUAUGACUCGAUCUUCCUUUCGCUUCGCCCUGUAUUGCAUUUCAAACCCAGGCCUAUUUCACAUGUACUUCUUGGACAACAUCCCCCUUCUAUGCUCUUUCUGUUCCAUGACCCUUCUGGCAGAUCUUCUGUCCUCAUUACUCACACUGACACAUUUUGUAACAUACAGAGCUAACCUUCAAAAUCCAGCUUUUGAGUUUUCCUUAAAACUGUAAAAGAAAAUACACCCCCCACCCACAUUU